NNACUAACAAGGAUUCCCUAGUAACGGCGAGUGAAGCGGGAUGAGCUCAAAUUUGAAAUCUGGCGGUCUCAGGCCGUCCGAGUUGUAAUCUAGAGAAGUGUUUCCCGUGCCGGACCGUGUACAAGUCCCUUGGAACAGGGCGUCAUAGAGGGUGAGAAUCCCGUCCAUGACACGGACUCCCGGUGCUCUGUGAUACACUUUCAAAGAGUCGAGUUGUUUGGGAAUGCAGCUCAAAAUGGGAGGUAAAUUCCUUCUAAAGCUAAAUACAGGCGAGAGACCGAUAGCGAACAAGUACCGUGAGGGAAAGAUGAAAAGAACUUUGGAAAGAGAGUUAAACAGUACGUGAAAUUGUUGAAAGGGAAACGCUUGAAGUCAGUCGCGUCCGCCGGGACUCAGCCUUGCUUUUGCUUGGUGCACUUCCCGGUGGAUGGGCCAGCAUCGAUUUCGGUCGCCGGAAAAGGGCGGGAGGAAUGUGGCAGCUUGCUGUGUUAUAGCCUCUUGUUGUANACGGUGAUUGGGAUCGAGGACUGCAGCACGCCUUUUGGUCGGGGUUCGCCCAACGCCACGUGCUUAGGAUGCUGGCGUAAUGGCUUUAAACGACCCGUCUUGAAACACGGACCAAGGAGUCUAACAUGCCUGCGAGUGUUUGGGUGUUAAACCCAGGCGCGUAAUGAAAGUGAAAAGUUGGGACUCUUUAGUGAGGCACCGACGCCCGAUCCUGACGUUCUCCGACGGAUUUGAGGCAGAGCAUGUAUGUUGGGACCCGAAAGAUGGUGAACUAUGCCUGAAUAGGGUGAAGCCAGAGGAAACUCUGGUGGAGGCUCGUAGCGAUUCUGACGUGCAAAUCGAUCGUCAAAUUUGGGUUUAGGGGCGAAAGACUAAUCGAACCAUUUNNNNNNNNNNNNNNNN
rnacentral:rRNA from 1 species